UACGUAGGGUGCGAGCGUUGUCCGGAAUUAUUGGGCGUAAAGGGCUCGUAGGCGGUCUGUCGCGUCGGGAGUGAAAACUCAGGGCUUAACCCUGAGCCUGCUUCCGAUACGGGCAGACUAGAGGUAUGCAGGGGAGAACGGAAUUCCUGGUGUAGCGGUGGAAUGCGCAGAUAUCAGGAGGAACACCGAUUGCGAAGGCAGCUCGCUGGGACGUAACUGACGCUGAGACGCGAAAGCGUGGGGAGCAAACAGG
rnacentral:rRNA from 1 species